UACAGAGGUCCCAAGCGUUGUUCGGAUUCACUGGGCGUAAAGGGUGCGUAGGUGGUUGGGUAAGUCUGAUGUGAAAUCUCCGGGCUCAACCCGGAAAUGGCAUUGGAUACUAUCCAGCUGGAGGGUCGGAGGGGGGACUGGAAUUCUUGGUGUAGCAGUGAAAUGCGUAGAUAUCAAGAGGAACACCAGUGGCGAAGGCGAGUCCCUGGACGACACCUGACACUGAGGCACGAAAGCUAGGGGAGCAAACAGG
rnacentral:rRNA from 1 species